rfam:Clostridium puniceum strain DSM 2619 CLPTN_contig000089, whole genome shotgun sequence.
UAAAAAGGCUAGGGGUGCCAAUUUAAAUUGGCUGAGAGAAGCUAUACUUGCUUUAACUCUUUUAACCUGAUGUGGCUAAUACCACCGUAGGGAAGCAAUAAGUAAAUUUA